rnacentral:rRNA from 1 species
CAGUAGCCGCGGGAAUACAGAGGGUGCAAGCGUUAAUCGGAAUUACUGGGCGUAAAGCGCGCGUAGGUGGUUUGUUAAGUUGGAUGUGAAAUCCCCGGGCUCAACCUGGGAACUGCAUCCAAAAGUGGCAAGCUAGAGUAUGGUAGAGGGUGGUGGAAUUUCCUGUGUAGCGGUGAAAUGCGUAGAUAUAGGAAGGAACACCAGUGGCGAAGGCGACCACCUGGACUGAUACUGACACUGAGGUGCGAAAGCGUGGGGAGCAAACAGGAUUAGAUACCCCCGUAGUCCCUGUCUCUUAUAC